rnacentral:rRNA from 1 species
AUUGAACGCUGGCGGCAGGCCCAAUACAUGCAAGUCGAACGGUAACAGGAAGAGGCUUGCUUCUUUGCUGACGAGUGGCGGACGGGUGUGUAAUGUCUGGGAAACUGCCUGAUGGAGGGGGUUAACUACUGGAAACGGUAGCUAAUACCGCAUAACGUCUCAACACCAAAGAUCGGGACCUUCGGGCCUCUUGCCAUUGGAUUUUCCCAGAUGGGAUUAGCUAGUAGGUAGGGUAACGGCUCACCUAGGCGACGAUCCCUAGCUGGUCUGAGAGGAUGACCAGCCACACUGGAACUGAGACACGGUCCAGACUCCUACGGGAGGCAGCAGUGGGGAAUCUUGCACAAUGGGCGCAAGCCUGAUGCAGCCAUGCCGCGUGUAUGAAGAAGGCCUUCGGAUUGUAAAGUACUUUCAGCGGGGAGGAAGGGAGUAAAGUUAAUACCUUUGCUCAUUGACGUUACCCGCAGAAGAAGCACCGGCUAACUCCGUG